ACGGCUCAGUAACACGUGGAUAACCUGCCCUUGGGACCGGCAUAACCCCGGGAAACUGGGGAUAAUUCCGGAUACCGCAUAUAUGCUGGAAUGCUUUAUGCGUGAAAUGGAUUCGUCUGCCCAAGGAUGGGUCUGCGGCCUAUCAGGUAGUAGUGGGUGUAAUGUACCUACUAGCCAACGACGGGUACGGGUUGUGAGAGCAAGAGCCCGGAGAUGGAUUCUGAGACAUGAAUCCAGGCCCUACGGGGCGCAGCAGGCGCGAAAACUUUACAAUGCGGGAAACCGUGAUAAGGGGACACCGAGUGCCAGCAUCAUAUGCUGGCUGUCCAGGUGUGUAAACUACACCUGUUAGCAAGGGCCGGGCAAGACCGGUGCCAGCCGCCGCGGUAACACCGGCGGCCCGAGUGGUGAUCGUGUUUAUUGGGUCUAAAGGGUCCGUAGCCGGUUUGGUCAGUCCUCCGGGAAAUCUGACGGCUUAACCGUUAGGCUUUCGGGGGAUACUGCCAGGCUUGGAACCGGGAGAGGUAAGAGGUACUACAGGGGUAGGAGUGAAAUCUUGUAAUCCCUGUGGGACCACCUGUGGCGAAGGCGUCUUACCAGAACGGGUUCGACGGUGAGGGACGAAAGCUGGGGGCACGAACCGGAUUAGAUACCCGGGUAGUCCCAGCCGUAAACGAUGCUCGCUAGGUGUCAGGCAUGGCGCGACCGUGUCUGGUGCCGCAGGGAAGCCGUGAAGCGAGCCACCUGGGAAGUACGGCCGCAAGGCUGAAACUUAAAGGAAUUGGCGGGGGAGCAC
rnacentral:rRNA from 1 species